AUUAGAUUAUUGUCAAGUUAUCUUCAAAGGCUGCGUGUCAGUAUUUUAUCUGAGCUCCAUUUUAUUCUGUAGUUUCUAACCCAUGGUUUUAAAACCUACAAUUUUGAGAGUUAUUAGAACUUCAGGUGAUUCCUGGGAUUUGUGUAUGGCUCAAAUAGUUCUAUCAAUGUGCUAUUAGAAGUGCUUUUCACCUUUUCUUCUUCUUUUUAUUUUUUCUGAUUGUUAAAUUGUAUUUUGGUUAUUUUUCUUAACUGUUGGUAACUUCAGUAUGCCACAGCAACAGAAAUUCCAUUUGUUCUGCUUAGACCAUUACAGCUGAUUAUAGAAUGCCUUCAGUUGAAAUCCACAUCAGCCGAAGAAAUGUAUCUUAUGGCCCUAAGAAUUCUGCAUCCUCUUUCAUACAUGAUAAAAGGAAUAAAAAUUGAGAAGAAUUAAAAACCUUUGUUAUGGUUUCUAAAAAAAUAAAUGUGAGUAAUAUUAUAAUUUAAUUAUAAACAAGGCAAAUACGCAAAUACAUAUAAAAGAUGACACAAUUAGAUCUUGAUGAUCUUUUCAAGAAAUAAUUUACUGUACAAUGUGUAAACAGUUUGUAACAUUCUACAAUACUUAUUUCUCUACCAAAAAUAUUCCCAGUGUACUGAUGUUACAUACAAAUUAAUACAAAUAUCCACAUUUUUAAAAAAUUUAAGCCAUAUAAUAAAUAUAAUAGCAAGUGCAUUGGAUAGCCUAGUGAAAAAACUGGAGAAGGAAAGGAGUUCCAAAAGUGA
rnacentral:lncRNA from 1 species